AGAGUUUGAUUCUGGCUCAGAUUGAACGCUGGCGGCAUGGCUAAAACAUGCAAGUCGAACGAGAACCCGCAAGGGGGAAAGUGGCGGAAGGGUGAGUAAAAGUAUCGAAUGUGCCCCGAGGUGGGGGAUAGGCAUGGGAAACUGUGCGUAAUACCUCAUGAUCUCGAGAGAGCAAAGGCGCAAGCCGCCUUGGGAGCAGCGAUAUACCUAUCAGGUAGUUGGCGGGGUAACGGCCCACCAAGCCGAAGACGGGUAGCCGGUAUGAGAGUACGGCCGGCCACAUCGGGACUGAGACACUGCCCGGACUCCUACGGGAGGCUGCAGUAACGAAUAUUCCGCAAUGCACGAAAGUGUGACGGAGCAAUGCCGCGUGCAGGAUGAAGCAACUUCGUUGUGUAAACUGCUGUCAGGAGCUAGAAACCAUGAUCAGCUCCAGAGGAAGGACCGGCUAAUCUCGUGCCAGCAGCCGCGGUAAUACGAGAGGUCCAAGCGUUAGUCGGAAUCACUGGGCUUAAAGGGUGCGUAGGCGGGCUUGUAAGUGUCUUGUGAAAUCCCAUGGCUCAACCAUGGAAUUGCAGGGCAUACUGCGAGCCUUGAGGAAUCUAGAGGCCGGCAGAACGAUAGGUGGAGCGGUGGAAUGCGUAGAUAUCUAUCGGAAUGCCAAAGGUGAAGACAGCCGGCUGGGGAUUUCCUGACGCUGAGGCACGAAAGCGUGGGGAUCAAACAGGAUUAGAUACCCUGGUAGUCCACGCCCUAAACGAUGUGCACUAGACCGAUGCGGCUCUGACGUCGUAUUGGUCGUAGAGAAAUUGAUAAGUGCACCGCCUGGGGAGUACGGUCGCAAGGCUAAAACUCAAAGAAAUUGACGGGGGCUCACACAAGCGGUGGAGCAUGUUGCUUAAUUCGAAACAACGCGAAGAACCUUACCGGGGUUUGAACCGCACGGGACAGCUGUAGAGAUACAGUCUUCCUUCGGGACCCGUGUAGAGGUGCUGCAUGGCUGUCGUCAGCUCGUGUCGUGAGAUGUUGGGUUAAGUCCCGCAACGAGCGCAACCCUUGCCUCCUGUUGCUAACAGGUAAAGCUGAGCACUCUGGAGGAACUGCCGGCGAUAAGCCGGAGGAAGGUGGGGAUGACGUCAAGUCCUCAUGGCCUUUAUGCCCCGGGCUACACACGUGCUACAAUGGCUGGUACAAAGGGUCGCAAAGCCGCGAGGUGGAGCUAAUCCCAGAAAGCCAGUCCCAGCUCGGAUUGCAGUCUGCAACUCGACUGCAUGAAGUUGGAAUCGCUAGUAAUCGCGGAUCAGCACGCCGC
rnacentral:rRNA from 1 species